CCCUUAGAUGUUCUGGGCCGCACGCGCGCUACACUGAUGCAUUCAACGAGUCUAAAACCUGCUCUGAUAGGGGCGGGUAAUCUUUUGAAUGUGCAUCGUGAUUGGGAUAGAUGAUUGAAAUUUUUCAUCUUCAACGAGGAAUGCCUAGUAAACGCAAGUCAUCAGCUUGCAUUGAUUACGUCCCUGCCCUUUGUACACACCGCCCGUCGCUCCUACCGAUUGAAUGAUCCGAUGAAUAUCAUGGAUUGAGGAUGCAAGUAGGUUCACCUAUCUUCAUCUUCGAGAAGUGAAGUAAAUCUUAUCAUUUAGAGGAAGGAGAAGUCGUAACA
rnacentral:rRNA from 1 species